UCCAGACUCCUACGGGAGGCAGCAGUGGGGAAUAUUGCACAAUGGGGGAAACCCUGAUGCAGCGACGCCGCGUGGGUGAAGGAGCACCUCGGUGCGUAAAGCCCUAUCGGCAGGGAAGAAACAGACGGUACCUGACUAAGAAGCCCCGGCUAACUACGUGCCAGCAGCCGCGGUAAUACGUAGGGGGCAAGCGUUAUCCGGAUUUACUGGGUGUAAAGGGAGCGUAGACGGCGGUGCAAGCCAGAUGUGAAAGCCCGGGGCCCAACCCCGGGACUGCUCUUGGAACUGCGUGGCUAGAGUGCAGGAGGGGCAGGCGGAAUUCCUGGUGUAGCGGUGAAAUGCGUAGAUAUCAGGAGGAACACCGGUGGCGAAGGCGGCCUGCUGGACUGCAACUGACGUUGAGGCCCGAAAGCGUGGGGAGCAAACAGGAUUAGAUACCCCCGUA
rnacentral:rRNA from 1 species